CCUACGGGAGGCAGCAGUAAGGAAUAUUGGUCAAUGGGCGCAAGCCUGAACCAGCCAUGCCGCGUGCAGGAAGACGGCCCUACGGGUUGUAAACUGCUUUUGUACCGGAAUAAACCCCCAUUCGUGAAUGGGGCUGAAUGUACGGUAAGAAUAAGGAUCGGCUAACUCCGUGCCAGCAGCCGCGGUAAUACGGAGGAUCCGAGCGUUAUCCGGAUUUAUUGGGUUUAAAGGGUGCGUAGGCGGCCUGUUAAGUCAGGGGUGAAAGACGGUAGCUCAACUAUCGCAGUGCCUUUGAUACUGACGGGCUUGAAUGUACUUGAGGUAGGCGGAAUGUGACAAGUAGCGGUGAAAUGCAUAGAUAUGUCACAGAACACCAAUUGCGAAGGCAGCUUACUAAAGUAUGAUUGACGCUGAGGCACGAAAGCGUGGGGAUCAAACAGGAUUAGAUACCCUGGUAGUCCACGCCCUAAACCGAUGAAUACUCGAUGUUGGCGAUAUACGGCCAGCGUCUAAGCGAAAGCGUUAAGUAUUCCACCUGGGGAGUACGCCCGCAAGGUGAAACUCAAGGAAUUGACGG
rnacentral:rRNA from 1 species